rnacentral:tRNA from 1 species
GGGCGGCUAGCUCAGUUGGUUAGAGCGCUACCCUCACACGGUAGAGGUCACUGGUUCGAGUCCAGUGCCGCCCA